rnacentral:rRNA from 1 species
GGGAACCUGCCCUUGGGUUCGGAAUAACAGUGAGAAAUUACUGCUAAUACCGGAUGAUGUCUUCGGACCAAAGAUUUAUCGCCCAAGGAUGAGCCCGCGUAGGAUUAGGUAGUUGGUGGGGUAAUGGCCUACCAAGCCGACGAUCCUUAGCUGGUCUGAGAGGAUGAUCAGCCACACUGGGACUGAGACACGGCCCAGACUCCUACGGGAGGCAGCAGUGGGGAAUAUUGGACAAUGGGCGAAAGCCUGAUCCAGCAAUGCCGCGUGAGUGAUGAAGGCCUUAGGGUUGUAAAGCUCUUUUACCCGGGAUGAUAAUGACAGUACCGGGAGAAUAAGCUCCGGCUAACUCCGUGCCAGCAGCCGCGGUAAUACGGAGGGAGCUAGCGUUGUUCGGAAUUACUGGGCGUAAAGCGCGCGUAGGCGGCUGCUCAAGUCAGAGGUGAAAGCCCGGGGCUCAACCCCGGAACUGCCUUUGAAACUAGGUAGCUAGAAUCUUGGAGAGGUCAGUGGAAUUCCGAGU